UUAUUGCUCAAAAUACAAACCUUUUGGAUCUUUGCUAGUCUUCAGAACUCGAGAUGAAACAGAAGAGAGGAGAACAAAAAAGGGCAGGGUCGCGCUAGAUUUGCCACAGUUCUCGCACCCGCUGGUCUGCCCUCACCCAAGAUGGCCACCAGCAAAAUGGUGCAGUGGCGACAGUCGCGCUGCCCUGGUUGCUAAGGGGACGCGACUACCGGAAAUGCGGCAUUCGGGGAGGGCUCGGGAGCUAGGGCAGUGGGAGGGAGGCCUGGCGUCACAGGUCCUGACUGGGAAGAAGUAGGCAGGUCCUUGCAGGGGAGAGCUGUGGCGGCAGGAUCUCGGGUAUAAGAGGCUCUAGCGGGAUGGAAUCUCAAAUCUCUGACGCCGCCGCCGGACAAGCAGAGCAGACGGCAGGCGAGGGCCAGACAGACAGCGGCGCCGCUCCGGGACCCGCAGCCUCGGCGCCCUUGGGUGCCGCCCGGUGGAAGCUCCUGCGGCAGGUUCUGAAACAAAAACACCUGGAUGACUGUCUACGACAUAUAUCUGUAAGAAGAUUUGAAUCAUUUAAUCUGUUUUCAGUAACAGAAGUCAAAAAAUUGGAAACUGAAGAGGAAGCUGGUGCCUGGGUCCAAUAUACGAGCAUCUUCUAUCCUGAAUACAGUAUUUUCUUAAGGCAUAAUAGUGGAUCUUUGAAUGUUGAAGAUGUUCUUACCAGCUUUGACAAUACAGGAAAUGUCUCACCUGUGUUGUGCAACUAUACACAGGAUUGAUGGGGUGCAAAAGAGGCUGCCCUUUAGCACUUUAAAGAAGCUGGGCCAGUCUUCAAGUUGGCCCUUGAAAAGCAGGACCCAGGAUGAUGAAGCAAAUCUGAAACCAACUGUAGGAGACAUAAAAGAGACGCAGUGAAAUAUGUACAUACUGGGUCUCACCAGGGAAAUUUCUGUGACAAAGUUUGUUGCCAAUAGGAAGGAAAAGCAUAGUCAUUCUGCAGGUAGGGGCAGCAAAUAAUUUUGAAAAAUAAACAUCUACUGAGACUUCAAGUAUUGAGUAACAUACAUUCAGUUUAUAGCACACACACUAUCAUUGGUCCCUGCAUGGUCACUUUGUCUUUUUAUUCGUAUUUGUUUGUUUUAAUGUAUUCUUAUAAAAUGCAUGCUGUUGUUUUGGGAUAUGUAUUCUGAAUUUCUGUAAUGGGUAUUAUUGAAGAUUAUAUUCUGUUUAUUGAUUAUUUUCAUUCACCGUUAUAUUAAUAUUGCAAGAUUUAUCCAUGUUGCUGUAUGUUCAUCCAGUUUGUUGCAUCUGGUGAAUACACAGUAUUUCACAAACAUCCUCCACACUUUGCCUGUCCACUCCCCUAGAUUGCCUUUAAUUCUCCCCUUCAGUAAAUGAUGCCAUGUGAGAGUUUCUUUGAACUAUAUACUCAGGAGUAGGAUAUAUAGCUAAGUAUUGCUGUGUGAAUAUUUUCACUAACUUUUCAGAACUAUGAACUCUUGAUGUUACUAGAGUUUAGCAACUUUAUAUCUUAGAAAUCAGUGUUACUAAUUCUGUAAGUCAAUCAAGUGCAUCCAUCAGAGAAUGCACAUAUAACUAAUGUGACUUGUAAUUCACAUCUAUAAAGAGAUUUUUCGCUAAUGUUGAUCUAUAAGCAUGUGUUACAAACUGUUGUUCUCAGGCAUUGUUUUAUAUUGACAUAAAACCCAGCCAUAAAUAGAUAAACAAGAUGUGGUGUAUUUUUCAGCUGUGAAAAAGGAGUAACUUACUGAUACAUGCUACAAUGCAACAAACCUCAAAAACAUUAUGUUGAGUGUAAGAAACCAAUCACAAUAACCCAUAUAUUUUAUGAUACCACUUAUAUGGACUAUCCAGAGCAGGCAAAUCCAUCGAGUCAGAAAGUAGAUUAACAGUUGCCUCUGGCAGAGGACUAGAAAAUGAGUGCCAAAUGAUAUGGAGUUUCUUUUGAGGGGAUGAAACUGUUCUAAAAUUGCUGGUGGUGAUGGUUUCACAACUCUACUAGCAUAUGCAAAACCAUUGAGGUGUAUGUACACUUUAAAUGGGUGAACUUUUAUAGCAUGUAAAUUAUACUUUAAUAAUGCUGUUUUUUUUUUUUUUUAAAGAGCCAAACUCCUCAAUUGGAUCAUUUGCCAAGAAGCAGAUUGGAAAUGAGUUCAAUGUGACCCCUUAGUUUCCUACUUCCUUUGUGUAGAGUAGAGGAACUUUUUCUCCUCUUGUGGGAACCUGAAGGGAGAGAAUCAGGACAGCUGUAUCCCUGAGCUCUAACCUCAAGUUGUUUGAAAAUAAACCUAGGCGUGUUAUCGAUA